rnacentral:rRNA from 1 species
GACGAACGCUGGCGGCGUGCUUAACACAUGCAAGUCGAACGGUGAAGGGGCCUGCUUUUGUGGGUCCUGGAUGAGUGGCGAACGGGUGAGUAACACGUGAGUAACCUGCCCCCUUCUUCUGGAUAACCGCAUGAGAGUGUGGCUAAUACGGGAUAUUCUGUGCCUGCUGCAUGGUGGGUGUGGGAAAGAUUGCGCCCUUUUUGGGUGUUUUUGGUGGGGGAUGGGCUCGCGGCCUAUCAGCUUGUUGGUGGGGUGAUGGCCUACCAAGGCGGUGACGGGUAGCCGGCCUGAGAGGGUGGACGGUCACACUGGGACUGAGACACGGCCCAGACUCCUACGGGAGGCAGCAGUGGGGAAUAUUGCACAAUGGGCGCAAGCCUGAUGCAGCGACGCCGCGUGAGGGAUGGAGGCCUUCGGGUUGUGAACCUCUUUCGCCAGUGAAGCAGGCCUGCUCCUUGGUGGGUGGG